AUUCACAAAAUAAAACAUUCAUAACUUGUCACUAUAUGCUCACUUCCAUUUUAAAGUAUCAUCGCAGCUGAAUUAUCAUCACAAUUAUGGAAGAUAAAGCAAGUAAUAACAUCUAGUCUCAACUUCAAUUGUAAUGGAAAAAUAAGAGAGUUCUAAUCAAUCAACUCAACAUCUUAAAAAAUUUCAACAACAAAAUUAGCCUUAUGACUUCAACAUAAUCAGACAUAAGGAAUAAAAUAAGAGUUUAACCCAACCCGAUGUUACAUGAUCAGAGCAAGGUACCACUAGUAAAAGCGACAAAAUAAAGAAGUAAUCCAAGAGCUAUCUUCCACUUACUUCAGCAAUACUACUCUUGAGUAUCUGCACAAUGCCCGUGUAAAGGCAACAUUCAAACAGAAGGGAUGAGAAUUCAUUUCAAUAAUAACGAUAUAGAAUGAAGAAUAAAGUACAACAUCUAUACAAUCCUGCACAACAAUAUAUCACAUUCUUAUAUCCAAAUCAUAAUCAACAUCAUACACGACAACAUCUCAAUUAUCAUCAACAUCAUGCAAAACCAUAUCUCAAUUAUCAUUAACAUCAUAUGCAACAACACCUCAUCCAACAACACAUCAACAACAACCAAUACAAAUGCAACACUUAUGCAAUAUACUCAACACCGACUCGACAUGCAUAUGGUUCCAAAUAUGAACACUCAGGUUCAUCUCACUCCUUGAUCCCCACCAUAGGAUCGUUUACCUCUUGGAACAGGAGCAUACCAAAAUCGCUACCAUCACCAUAGGUAACGCUUCACUAAUCCUCCAUAAUAGAAAUUAGCUACUCGCACCCGAUCCAUCACAAUGGGAUCGAGGCUCACCAAAACUCGUUACCAUCAACAUAGAUAAUGCUUCACUAAUCCCUCAUAAUAAUAAUAAUAAUUAGCUACUCGCACCCGAUCCAUCACCAUAGAAUCGAGGCUCACCAAAAUUGGACCGAAGCCCGUACACCAAGAUGCAUGACUCUCAAAUAACAUGAAUUAACACAACAAGGUUCACCUAAAGGAUCCCCACACACAUAUCAUCAUUUAUACAUCACAUCAUUCAUCUUGCAACAACCAAUUCAUGUUACCAUAUGAAUAAUAUCAACAAACAUCAUCAAUUUAUCAAUAUCUUAACAUCAUCGACAUAACAACAUAAUUAUCACACCACGAUAUUACAACAAUGCAACGGUUCAUCAACCAAACGUAUAAACCAAUACAUUUAUUAACAUAUUAGGCAUGUGAAUAUUAUUAAAACAUAUCAACAAUCACUACCAUGUUAUAUCUCUGACCGUUAGCUUUCUAGCGCUUCAAACAACAUCAAAAUCGGACUUACGAAAUAAAAGUUAUGACCAAAAUCGUUGGGAUGUGUCAAUAAUUCAUUAACCGAACGUAUGAACAAAAACCUCACCAACAUAUUAGGAAUAUGAAUAAUACUCAAUCAAUUCACUUAUCACCAUCAUGUUAUAUCUCUUAGAUUCAGCUUUCUAAUGCUUCAAACCCCAACCCAAAAUGAUUCACGAGUUGAAAGUUAUGAUCAAAACCGUGCACGAAAGUGUUACUAAAAAGUUGUUAUUUUCUGAAAUUUCCAACACAAUUUUCAUCUUCUUCAACCCCAAAAACAUCCAUAUAAUAAUCACCAAAAUUAUUUUAUUCCUGAAACAAAGUUAUAGCCCUCUAAUUCAGAUAUCUAACGCUUCAAAUAAAACUCAAUUUGGACUUACGAACCAAAAGUUAUGGCCAAAACGAUUUCGACUGAAAAACAUAAAAAAACAAUAGGUCUUUUUAGCAUAUUUUAUCCUCACUCACACGCUUUCCAGGAAAGUUCCUAGAUGGUCACCCAUCCAAAUAUUACUCCAAGUGAAGCAUGCUUAACUAUGAAGUUCUUAUUUGUUAGCCUACCAGAAAGAAGAUGCAUCUUGUUGGUAUAUGUAGUAUCAAUCAAUUCUUAUAAGUCUUCCUUCAACCAUGCAGUCACAUCCCUACACAACCUCAUGAUCCCUCUCAUUUUAAUGUGAAUUCAAUGACCACUCUUCGCCCUCUUCAUCCUCGAGUGUUACAUCCACUCUCCGCCCUCUUCUCCAUUGGGUGUUACAUGCUCACCAGCUUCUGCUUGGUUCGUCCCCGAACCACAUUGUACUAGGAGAUGUUUUACUCUAAUACCAUUUGUAACGCCUCAGAUUGCUUUCAAUAUUAUUGACUGAUGCCACAAAUUAACAUGGUUCUUUUCAGCAUAUUUUGUUCUUACUCACACGUUUUCCAGGAAACUUUCCAAAUGGUCACCCAUCCAAAUACUACUCCAAUUGAAGCACGCUUAACUAUGAAGUUCUUAUUUGUUAGGCUACCGAAAAGAAGAUGCAUCUUAUUGGCAUAGAUAGUACCAAUAAAUCCUUAUAAGCCUUCCUUUAACCAUGCAGUCUCAUCCCUACACAGCCUCAUGAUCCCUCACAUCCCGGCGCAAAUUCGACCAACCACUCUAUGCCCUUUUUGGCCUCGAUUAUUUCACCCACUCUCCACCCUCUUUGGCCUUGGGUGUUACAUAACUCAUCCUCCUCCCGAGACGAUCAUUCUUUGAACAAGAUUUAGGCUCUAAUGCCACUUGUUGAACAUGUGAUUCCAUACAUAAAUACAGGGGUACUCUCCACCCUCUUUGGCCUUGGGUGUUACAUAACUCAUCCUCCUCCCGAGACGAUCAUUCUUUGAACAAGAUUUAGGCUCUAAUGCCACUUGUUGAACAUGUGAUUCCAUACAUAAAUACAGGGGUGAAUUGUGGUGGAUAGAAAAUCAAUGGUUUAAAACAAAAUCAUUUUCAAAAUCAGAGUUUGAAAACAUUUUAUCAAAAUGUUAGUAUAGGCAGCAAAAAUUUAAGGUAAAGAAAAUAUGUGAAAAGUAAAUGGUUAAGAGAAGAGAGAUAACUUCAUAAAUUUAUAAAGGUUUGAUCUUAAGAAGUGACCUACUCCACUACCCAAUAAUUGAUAUUGGGAGUAUUCAAUAAUUCUUGAGAGCUUUUAGAAUGUUAAUCCCAUGAACCCUUUUAUACAAGGAAAAAUGAAGUUUCAAGAAAACAUAUAACAAACCAAUGAACAAAGGAAUGAAGCGGUUAGUCUUAUCGUAAAAAAAAAUAGAACAAAGCUUUGAACGAUUAGUCUCUAAUCCAAACUGAGAUUUUGUACAGAUUGGUCUCAAACUAAGUUGGAGUUUUGAGUUGGCUAUCCUCUAAAUCUAACCACAGUUUUGUAUAGGGAUGACCACAAACUGAACUUAGAUCUUACACCUCUCAAACCAAUAAAGUUUUGUAUAGGGUUAAGCUCAAGAAUUGAUGUGAAUAUUUUUCUCUGGUUAUUCUUCAUGAACCCAAAAGGAGAUCUUUUCCUUAAGUGUCAGAGAUCACUAACCAAAUGGAGACUAACACUAAUCCCCCAAAGAUAUUUUAUACAUAUUUAUAUCCAAACCUAAACAAUUUCUUCCUAUGGAAUAAUAAUUUCCUCAAGAGUAAAAAAAAUCUUUGUCAAUUUACAAUAACUUCCUCACUAAACUUAAGGAUGUUUCUCAACGUGCUAUGACUUAAAAUGUGUGAGAGAAAGAAAAAUAAUUUAGAGAGAUAUUGAGAGAGAGUAAGGUGAGAUAUAUCUCAUUUUUUGGAUGAAAUGAAAUUAAGGGAAAUGCCUAUAUUUAUAGGACAAGGGAUGGUUCAAUUUAGGAAACAAUCCGUAGGCAAAAUUAAUUAUUUAAUCGAUUAGGAACAUGCAAUAAUCAAUUAUUGCUUCACAAUUUGGAAGUGUUGGAUAAAGAGUCGUUACCAUUCAAUAAAAAAAUUCAUAAUCGAUUAUGUACUUGUUUCACAUUCAUCUAAUCGAUUAGGAAUUUGUCUAAUCGACUAGACAAUUCAAAAACUUUUCCUAAUGAAUCUGACAACUCCCAAAUCAUCUAGCUAGGUUCAAAAAUCAUUUUUUUUUAGGUUUUAUUUGAAAAAUAAUAGGAUAAAAAAUAUUUUUUAGUGCGUGUGUGAUUUAACCAUACUACUUAAAACACUAAUCACUCAACUAGAUACAAUCAACCGAACUUUCACACUUUCACACUCUGAAGCUUCAAACCCUUUUGCCUUAUAUACUAAUCAAGUAAGGGAUGAUGCUUUAUAUAUCUUCAAAUUAGAUGACAUAAUCAAAGAAUAGUAUUGGUGAUCAUAAAAUACUAAUUCUUUAGCUUGAUUAGGAGUAAAAGCUCGAUUAAAACUUUGUGCAUCUUUGACAGAUUGAUUUUCUUUAUCUUCGUGCAUUGUUGUUUGUAAGACCCCAAUUUUGACCUUAAGAUCCCUCAUGUUAUCUCAUCAUUUUCAUUGGAUUUGGGAUCAGACCUUGGCAUACUCCUCACCCCUUAUUCCUUGGGUUUGCAUUGGGAGAGAUCGCCAAACACUUUUGAUUGUAUCAUACUUUAUUUUUAUUUGUUUACUAACCAAAAUUCUAAAAAUAUGUCUAUGUAUAGCUUUGUUUCUUUUGUAGGUGUGCGUGUGUCCAUCUGUGCCCCCACCAAGCUCAUAACUAGGGUUUGAGACCCUUAAUGCAAGAGAUCAAUUAAGUAAAGGUUCACAAUGGUUCUAAUUAUCACAUAUGGAUCCCCGUGUUCUUCAUUUAUCAUUUUUAUCAAGAAUUCAUCAAGAAUUUGAAGCUUGUUUGCCUUAGAAGCCCUAAUUCAUCUAGGGUAUCUUGUGUGACUUCCUUAGCAUGUUUCUUCACUAAUUGGUCAAAUAUCUCAAGGGAUACUUCAUUAUACAUCAUCUUAUGCAUAUAUGAGCCCCCAUGAGCCCCAAAUAUCAAAAUAACUUCAAGUUUGCAAGUUGGUUCAAGGAGGUUGACUAGAGAAAGUCAACUGGUUAAAUCUAGGUUUCCCUAGACCCUAUCUCCUAUAAUUUUUGUCAUAUGAAAAUGAUUCCAAGAGAUACGUUACCUUUUAUGAAAUUCCAAACAACUUUCAUGUUAACAUCAAGAUCUAAUUUUGCUUGGAAAGUCUUUUUUUUUGUGAAAGAUUAUAAGUCAUUUUGUUUGUGCCCUAGUUAAGAGGUCAACUUCCAAAGACCAUAACUUGCUCAAUUUGUGUCAUAUGAAGGUCAUCCAAGUUUCAUGAUUAAUUUAAAGAUGUCUUAUCAAACUUUUAUUCUUUUAUAAAUUUCAAAUUCUACUUGAAAGGGCAUGUGCCAAGAGGAAACAUUAUAGGUCAUUUUGGGCCUUUACCAUUGAACAAACAAUUUUCCUCAACUUCUAAAAUCCAUAACUCCCUCAUGAAAGAUUCAAAUGGUGUCAAAUAUGUGACCAAAUUUAAGAGGAAUGAAAGAGAUUCAACUUUGGUGAAGAAACCAUUUUCAUUUGAAGCUCAUAGAAAAAGUUAUUCAAGGUGGAAAAAGUGAUCAUUUGACUUUAUACUUAGAAAUUUUUAAACUAUGUUUGAUUUCUCCAACUUCCACCUCAAAAUUCAUUAUGAUCCAAGGUCCAAAUGGAAACUUAUUUAAUAGAAAAGUUAUUUCCCUUCAUGUUACCUUUCCAAAGAGUCCAAGAUCAUGACAUUUGGAGAAUUUUGGAAGGACUUGUGCAUGGGUGUAAUGCAUGGCCUCAUUUGGUAAGUUCGAUGUCCAAUUUCCAUUUCACUAAUGAAUGAUCCCAUGUUAUCGUUUCAGGUUGAUUAGCACAUGAUUUUGGAUCUUUUGGCAUCAUUUAAUGGGUCUAUCAUACGCCCAUGCAACCAAGACUUUAUAUUUUUGACAAAGUUUGGAAGUGUGUGAAAAGCAUUUGAAAAGCCUAUAAAUACAUUGCAUAGAUUAUCAGAAUAAAAAACCUUGCCCAAGCUUUGCUCCUGCAACCUUCCCACCCUCCAUUGAUAGGAUAAUCUUGAGGACUUCAAUUGAAAUCGAGUUUCAAUUCUACUUCUGUUUUGAAGUUGAAACUCCAAGUGUGCAAGUCAUUUGAGCUCUCAUUUCAUCUCCUGCAAGCAAGUAGAAGCAAGCCCAAACAAAUUGAGUUCCAGAUCGAGCUUCAUCACUGUAAACAGAAGGUGAAUUUUGUGAAACUUUUUCUCUUUGAUUCUCUCUCAAUUCUCCAUCAUUUCAAUUAAUUUUUGGUUGGCUGAAGUCCUACCAAUAUAGGCAACAAGAUUGAGUUUCUUUGAGGUCAAAUGGAAGCAACUCAGAUCAUACACCUCAAAUUUUAAAUCAAUGUAUCUUUCAAUAUAUGUGGAAUUGAGAGAAAUUGAGGUCAGAUUUGGACUCCUGAGGAUUUUUACUUCAAAUUAGUGUAUUCAUUUUCCAUUUUUAUGGUGGUUGGUGGUGGACCGUCCAGUGAGAUCCAUCGGAGAAGAAGAUCGGAGCUAGGGCUCUGGUGGUGUGUUGACACCCUUCCAACUGUUUGGCGAUGUUUGAAUAUUUUAAUCAUAGUCAUUGGUUCAGAUUACCAUGCGCGUGGCACGUUUAACUUGGUGUACUGUGUUGAGCAUGCGUGUGCCCAUCAGAUCUGCCACCUCAAUUAAUGAGGGAGAUAUGAUGACCCUUGUUUUUUCUAAUUUCUUUUUAUUUUCUGAUUUUUCUUUUAAUCCUUUUAUUUUGAUUAAUUCAUAAUAAAUUGAUUUUUAAUCCAAAAAAUUAUGGGACUUUCACCAAAAAUCUUUAAAUAUUUCCCCUUCCAUUUUUGAAUUAAAAUCAUUUUUGGAUUAAUUUUGAUAUUUUUUGUGAAUUAAUUGAUUUUUGACUUAUUUUUAAAUUUUUUAAAAUACUUCUGACUUUCCAAAAAUUCUAAAAAAUUCUGUCUAGGGUCCUUUGACCUUUUUUGACCAAAGAUAAAUCCCUUGGCCAUUUAUUUGGUGAUUUGAAAGGAUUUGAGGUUUUGUCCAUUUAAAAAUACAUUUUAAUUCAUUUUAAAAUUGAUUUUUAAUUGAUUAAUUAUUUAAAAAAAUUGUUAACCCAUUUAAUUGAUCUUGUGGUGUUUGGUCUUGGUCAUGGUUGAUUUGACUUUUGUUUGACCAAUACUAUUGGAUUUAGGGGGUUGAUGAAAUGUACAUUUCAUCCUCCAGAAUGAAUGGAUAAUAUUGAUGAGAUGAAAAUCCUCAUAUGAUCAAUUUGGAUUUCUAUUUCCCCUUUCCUCUUCAUCUUCAUCCCUAUUCUUUCUCAAUCCAUCAUUGACCAAUGAAUUCUCUUCAAGUCAAAAUGCUAGUUGAUUCAUCAAUGACCUUAUGUCAGAUGAAUCAACAUGAGUCUGACUGAGAUAGGUCUCUCCCGUCUUUAUUUUUAUUGUGUGGUAUGUUUUAGGAGUUUGGUUCUUGGUACCAAGUCUCUAACAUGCAUUAACACCAAUAUCUUUAUUGCCCAACCUCAGAUAGUUGUGACUUCUACAUAAGUCAAAUUGUGAUUGCUUAACAUAUAGCUAAAUUUAUCCCGCAAGGCAUAACAUUCUAGUAAGUGAGUUUGUAAAUCUCCAAUUCUUCAUGGUAUUGUGUGAAGACUUGACCUUUUUUCCAUUCAUGAGAGUUAAUGGCAUACUUGUUGAUUUACCCAAGUUGGAGCCCUUCUCAUGGAUGAUGCCUUGGUUCAUGUCUUCAUACUUGUGAAUCGAUGGUUGAGUAUUCUCCAAAGAAUGACUUAGAUAAUCAAAACUCUUCACUAGCCUUUGACUAACUUCUUACUAACAUUUUGCUUUACUUUCAAGUCAUUUACUUAAUGCAAUUUAAAUUUCAGUACCUUUAUCAUUCAUUGCCAUUUACAUUUCAUGCAACUUAUUUAUGUUUCAGUCUUUUUCACUUUGUUCACUUGAGCCAUAUCUUGUGAUUGUAUAUAUUGUGUGCUUGUGCUUUUAUUCUGUUUGUGGUCUUAGGACCUUAAAAUACCUAAGAACAAAAAAAACCCUAAAAAAUAUCUUGGUGGGAUGUUGGACUUGAUAUGAACUUUUGGACUUAGUGUGGGCAACUUCCCUAUGCUUUGAGGACUUGGCCAAUGCCACUACUAGAGACAAAAUCAUAUUUGAUUGUGUCUUUCAUCUGAUGAAAACCUUGGGCGCUCCUAUUUCAUCUGUCACUUUGUCUUUUAUCAAACGUCAUUUUGACCAAAACACUUGCACACAAAAAAUGUCUCCCUAGGAGUACCUAGGACACUUUUGAUGCUAACACAUUCCCUCUGUGUAACCAACCCCCUUACAUGUAAUCUAUGAUAUUUUAUUAGUUUUGAUUUGAAAACUUCUUAUCUUUGGGUUUUAUUUCGUACUUUUCCCUUUUUUCCUUUGGAAACAAUAAAAGCGUGGUGGCGACUCUGGUUUUAUCGACGUCAAGUUUAUCCAUAACUUGAUGGUCAUGAAUUUACCGCUACAUUGUCAUUCAAUAUUCUUUAAGAGUUAUUACAUCUUUAGAUUUUAUCAACAAAACUACUUCAACCGCUUCAGGUGUUGACAUCAUAAAAACUAUGACAUUAUUAGUGCUAAGCAUAUCUUGCUUAUCUAUGAGCUUAGAUCAUUUCUUGAUUAUACCAGCAAGCACAUAGUUCCACAGUUCCAACUGUUUUCUUUUGAUUUCUAACAUGUCUUUCAUGGUGUCUCACUUCUAUCUAAAAGGAAAACAUUAUACGGAUAAACUUGAUUCUUUUGGUCUAUCCAUAUAUUAUUAAUGAUGGAAGAUAUUUCAUAUUUUAUUAGAUCUGAUUAUGCCCGAAAUAGACUUAAUCUCUCAGAAUACAAUUUUACUUAGUUUUGAGAGUUUUGGUGUUAUGCCCCCUCUUUUUGGUAAGUAUUAUAUAUAUAUAUAUAUAUAUAUAUAUAUUAUAUAUAUAUAUAAUAUAUAUAUAUAUAUAUAUAUAUUGAAAAUUAAAGGCAUAUGAACAAAUAUAUGAAAAAUGAAAUCAUUUAAUAUACGAUGAUCACUCUUUUAUCAUCUUCCAAUUGAGGUUCUUGUGUGAAGACAAGUCUCUUAUGAAGUUGUUUUGAUGAAGACAAAUUUAUAUAAGAAGGAAAAUAUUCAACAUUGGAUUAUGUGUUUCAAGACCUGCCUUUCAUUCCAUAUCCUCAAUAAACAAAUCCCUAAUACACUUAGCUCACACUAAAUCCAUUCUCAACAAGCAUUUUUUUUUGAUAUUCUUGUAUUUAAGCCUCUUCUACCCUAAAUGCUUGAAAAGCUGCUGCAAUUCAUACAUUCAGGUCCAAGAUGAUUAAAUAGGAGCAAUUGUCAUACCCUAAAAUUUAUCGUACUUUUUUUAAUUUUGUUUAGCUUAUUGCUCAUUGCAUCUACAUAUUCACAUACCAUAAUCAUUCAUCAUAAGACAUUCAUUUUACCAUUGCAUUUUUAAACUAAUAUAAUUGAUUCAAAGGUUUACGAUUGGAUUCUUAUUGUUUGGCUUUUCAAGUCUCAUGGACUAGGGUUUACUUCCAUGGCAUAUAUGAGGAUCAAACUAUGGGAUUAGAUCUACUUAGGUUGAUUAUUCCUUGAAACCCUAAUCAUUAGUUUAUGAUCUCUUGGCUAUUUGGGUUGCAUCAUGGCAUUGAUAGUGAGAGACUUUUCUCAGGCUUUGAUUUUUGGUCAAAUAUGAGUCAACCUCAAAGGGGGCCAUUUCAUUAUGAAGUUACUUGGCAGCUAUUAUGAGCUUUAAAUAUAUUUGAUUUAAAACAUGAUAAUUCAUUUCAAGAUUCAUUCAAGUUCAUGUUCUAAGUGCAAGUUUUUCAAAGUUGGGAUUAUGGGAUGGAAACUAUCUUUCUUCAAGUACAAGAUACUACAAUUCAAGGACCCAUUUUCAUUGCAAACUUUCAAAGUUUCAUUACAAAAGGAUUCAUAACAAAAUUACACCAAAAAAAUCAUAAUUUUGACCUAGGUUGACUUUUGGUCAUCUAUUGACUUUUUGGUCAAAUAGUUGACCAAAGUCAACCAACUACGCCAUAACCCUAACAUUUACUCUAGACCUAGUUUCUUCAUUUUAAUCCAUCAUCUUCAUGUCCAUGUUCCAUCAAUGCAAUGCAAUGCAUAUAUUCCAAAACCACUAACAUAUUAACUUCAAUUCUAAUUUCAACUUUUCAUAACAGUUGCCAUUCAAUUUAACAUAACUUCAUCUAACUCAUUAACAUAACUAGCAUACCUCUCCAUGAAAAUGCUAAAUAUCACAAGCCUACAUAGCUAGUAUCCAAUUCAUCAACAUGAUACUCUAAUUGUUCUAGACAAACUAUUUUUUCCACUGCAAACCAACUGCCUUUAGUUACUUUUAACCAAGUCACAUAGCUACCAUUCAAACUUCAUUAGCUUCUUAACAAUCCUGGCUAACCAAUCCAAACAGUUACGUAUUUUAGAGCAAAGUUCAACCAAUUCAAAUUCAGAUUAGGAAAAAUAUCACUAAUUCAGUUUUAUAGUUCAAACUCUAGUUCAUUUCAACAUAAUUUUCACCAAAUCAACUUACUCCAAUUCCAUGCUAUAACUAAUUUCAAGAUUUUACAAUUUAAUAACGGUGUUUCAAUUUAUUCAAACAACUAAUUUUUGAUGCUCACUGUUCCAUUCAUUACCAAUCUACAUUAAGGUUAAUUUCAAGUCUUAACACAUUCCAGUUCAAUUCCAACAUAAGUCACUAACAACAAGCAUGUAUUCAAUUCCAUAUGUACAUCACAUCAAGCAUUCAGAGUAAUAUGCAUAAAAAACAAACUUUAGUUCAUUUGCAAUUACUAACAAUAAUUAACUAUAACUACACUAACCCGCUAACUUGUGUCCAUCUUUAACAAUUCACCAGUAGUUCCCAAUUUAUUAGCAUAACAGUCGGUUUCUAUUUCACAUAAUUCCCUAACUAACUCAUUAAUAACAACCGAACUCAAUUCACAACAUUCAUUAACAAAAAAGCAUAACUGAAAUUCAAUCCCACAUUUACAAUGCAGAAAUAGAUGUAAUUCAUGCAAUCAUUUCACAGUUCACUAAUCAAACUAAUUUUUAUUCAUAAUGAUUUUAAAACAUACUACUUUAACACUAACCACAACCUUGCAUUCAAAAACCUAACUAACUAUUCAAUUUGCAACUAACACUUUCUAACCAACUGAUUCACAUCUAACAUAAUUAACUAGCAUUAUUUCACACUCUAACUGAAAUCCAAUUUGUUACUAACUAACCAUAACAACAACUUAACAUAAGCUAACUAAAUUGAUCACUUCUAACCAAAUUACACUAUGGAUUUUAACAUAGUUAGCACUGCCCCAACGGUUGCCUGAACUACCUGAAUCGGUUGCAACCUCUCACCCUAUAAAUCAUCACCAAUCAAUCAUUGUUCAGGAGGACUCUUCAAUCAUUCAUCACCUCACAAACCUAUAAGCUCACAAAAUUUUCUAAUUCACCAAUCAUUUUGGCACAUUCAUAUUCAAUUCUCAACCUCAUUGCAUAAACAAAUUCACAAACUCUUCACAACUCUCUUUGAAUAUGACUGAGGAACAAUUUGCACAACACUCUGCAAUCUUCUCACUCUCUCCAAUCAUUGGAAUUCAAUCACAAACAAUCAUCACCAAUUUCUCUCUAAAAAUCUCUUACAUACAACAAUUAAACAACAAUAGAAGAAUCACAAACCUACAAGCUACAGAAGAAGAAAAGGUGGGAUUGCAAAAGAGAAGGCUAAGGAAUUCAAAGCAUACCUCUGGUUUUCUCUUAUUCUUCAUCUUCAUUAGCUUCCCUUUAAACAAAUUCUGAGGCAAACCAUGGUCUUGCAAGUAGGUCCAAAAUUCCUAUUCUUCUUGCUCAAAUUCUGUUACUGAAUGUAGACUUAUUGUAUAUGAACCAAACCCAUAAGGCCAGAGUUCAGAUUGAAGCUCCGUUUUGAUUUAAUUUCACUUUCUUUGGCUAGGGUUCUUCAAUGGUUUGGUUCGGUUUGUAUAAAGUGUUAGGUUCUGAGGGAAAUUAAGGAGAGAUCAAGAGAGAGGACUUUAGGAGCAUCAUUUUGGUGGUCGUAGGUGUUAUUUUGCAUCACUCUGCCACCUACCGUGCGGCGGAGGAACCAACACCGGCGAGGAAGUUUUUAGAAAGGAACAUGAUACUACAAUGUGAAACAAGGAAUGAUCGAAAAUUUUAGUUUCU
rnacentral:lncRNA from 1 species